GGGUAGUUUGACUGGGGCGGUCUCCUCCUAAAGAGUAACGGAGGAGCACGAAGGUCAGCUAAUCCUGGUCGGACAUCAGGAGGUUAGUGCAAUGGCAUAAGCUGGCUUGACUGCGAGCGUGACGGCGCGAGCAGGUGCGAAAGCAGGUCAUAGUGAUCCGGUGGUUCUGAAUGGAAGGGCCAUCGCUCAACGGAUAAAAGGUACUCCGGGGAUAACAGGCUGAUACCGCCCAAGAGUUCAUAUCGACGGCGGUGUUUGGCACCUCGAUGUCGGCUCAUCACAUCCUGGGGCUGAAGUAGGUCCCAAGGGUAUGGCUGUUCGCCAUUUAAAGUGGUACGCGAGCUGGGUUUAGAACGUCGUGAGACAGUUCGGUCCCUAUCUGCCGUGGGCGCUGGAGAAUUGAGGGGGGCUGCUCCUAGUACGAGAGGACCGGAGUGGACGCAUCACUGGUGUUCGGGUUGUCAUGCCAAUGGCAUUGCCCGGUAGCUAAAUGCGGAAGAGAUAAGUGCUGAAAGCAUCUAAGCACGAAACUUGCCCCGAGAUGAGUUCUCCCUGACCCUUUAAG
rnacentral:rRNA from 1 species